rnacentral:tRNA from 1 species
UUUAAGAUAGUAUAAAAGUACAGUUACCUUCCAAGUAAAAAGUCCGAAGCGGCCUUCUUU